rnacentral:tRNA from 1 species
AUUUAAAUAGUUUAAUUUAAAACAUUAUUUUUUCAUAAUAAAAAUUAUAUUUUUUAUAUUUAAAUA